GGGUUGUGAGGUUAAGCGACUAAGCGUACACGGUGGAUGCCCUGGCAGUCAGAGGCGAUGAAGGACGUGCUAAUCUGCGAUAAGCGUCGGUGAGGUGAUAUGAACCGUUAUAACCGGCGAUUUCCGAAUGGGGAAACCCAGUGUGUUUCGACACACUAUCAUUAACUGAAUCCAUAGGUUAAUGAGGCGAACCGGGGGAACUGAAACAUCUAAGUACCCCGAGGAAAAGAAAUCAACCGAGAUUCCCCCAGUAGCGGCGAGCGAACGGGGAGGAGCCCAGAGCCUGAAUCAGUGUGUGUGUUAGUGGAAGCGUCUGGAAAGGCGCGCGAUACCGGGUGACAGCCCCGUACACAAAAAUGCACAUACUGUGAGCUCGAUGAGUAGGGCGGGACACGUGGUAUCCUGUCUGAAUAUGGGGGGACCAUCCUCCAAGGCUAAAUACUCCUGACUGACCGAUAGUGAACCAGUACCGUGAGGGAAAGGCGAAAAGAACCCCGGCGAGGGGAGUGAAAAAGAACCUGAAACCGUGUACGUACAAGCAGUGGGAGCCUCUUAAUGGGGUGACUGCGUACCUUUUGUAUAAUGGGUCAGCGACUUAUAUUCUGUAGCAAGGUUAACCGAAUAGGGGAGCCGAAGGGAAACCGAGUCUUAACUGGGCGCUAAGUUGCAGGGUAUAGACCCGAAACCCGGUGAUCUAGCCAUGGGCAGGUUGAAGGUUGGGUAACACUAACUGGAGGACCGAACCGACUAAUGUUGAAAAAUUAGCGGAUGACUUGUGGCUGGGGGUGAAAGGCCAAUCAAACCGGGAGAUAGCUGGUUCUCCCCGAAAGCUAUUUAGGUAGCGCCUCGUGAAUUCAUCUCCGGGGGUAGAGCACUGUUUCGGCAAGGGGGUCAUCCCGACUUACCAACCCGAUGCAAACUGCGAAUACCGGAGAAUGUUAUCACGGGAGACACACGGCGGGUGCUAACGUCCGUCGUGAAGAGGGAAACAACCCAGACCGCCAGCUAAGGUCCCAAAGUCAUGGUUAAGUGGGAAACGAUGUGGGAAGGCCCAGACAGCCAGGAUGUUGGCUUAGAAGCAGCCAUCAUUUAAAGAAAGCGUAAUAGCUCACUGGUCGAGUCGGCCUGCGCGGAAGAUGUAACGGGGCUAAACCAUGCACCGAAGCUGCGGCAGCGACACUAUGUGUUGUUGGGUAGGGGAGCGUUCUGUAAGCCUGUGAAGGUGGCCUGUGAGGGUUGCUGGAGGUAUCAGAAGUGCGAAUGCUGACAUAAGUAACGAUAAAGCGGGUGAAAAGCCCGCUCGCCGGAAGACCAAGGGUUCCUGUCCAACGUUAAUCGGGGCAGGGUGAGUCGACCCCUAAGGCGAGGCCGAAAGGCGUAGUCGAUGGGAAACAGGUUAAUAUUCCUGUACUUGGUGUUACUGCGAAGGGGGGACGGAGAAGGCUAUGUUGGCCGGGCGACGGUUGUCCCGGUUUAAGCGUGUAGGCUGGUUUUCCAGGCAAAUCCGGAAAACCAAGGCUGAGGCGUGAUGACGAGGCACUACGGUGCUGAAGCGACAAAUGCCCUGCUUCCAGGAAAAGCCUCUAAGCAUCAGGUAACAUCAAAUCGUACCCCAAACCGACACAGGUGGUCAGGUAGAGAAUACCAAGGCGCUUGAGAGAACUCGGGUGAAGGAACUAGGCAAAAUGGUGCCGUAACUUCGGGAGAAGGCACGCUGAUAUGUAGGUGAAGCGACUUGCUCGUGGAGCUGAAAUCAGUCGAAGAUACCAGCUGGCUGCAACUGUUUAUUAAAAACACAGCACUGUGCAAACACGAAAGUGGACGUAUACGGUGUGACGCCUGCCCGGUGCCGGAAGGUUAAUUGAUGGGGUUAGCGGCAACGCGAAGCUCUUGAUCGAAGCCCCGGUAAACGGCGGCCGUAACUAUAACGGUCCUAAGGUAGCGAAAUUCCUUGUCGGGUAAGUUCCGACCUGCACGAAUGGCGUAAUGAUGGCCAGGCUGUCUCCACCCGAGACUCAGUGAAAUUGAACUCGCUGUGAAGAUGCAGUGUACCCGCGGCAAGACGGAAAGACCCCGUGAACCUUUACUAUAGCUUGACACUGAACAUUGAGCCUUGAUGUGUAGGAUAGGUGGGAGGCUUUGAAGUGUGGACGCCAGUCUGCAUGGAGCCGACCUUGAAAUACCACCCUUUAAUGUUUGAUGUUCUAACGUUGGCCCGUAAUCCGGGUUGCGGACAGUGUCUGGUGGGUAGUUUGACUGGGGCGGUCUCCUCCUAAAGAGUAACGGAGGAGCACGAAGGUUGGCUAAUCCUGGUCGGACAUCAGGAGGUUAGUGCAAUGGCAUAAGCCAGCUUGACUGCGAGCGUGACGGCGCGAGCAGGUGCGAAAGCAGGUCAUAGUGAUCCGGUGGUUCUGAAUGGAAGGGCCAUCGCUCAACGGAUAAAAGGUACUCCGGGGAUAACAGGCUGAUACCGCCCAAGAGUUCAUAUCGACGGCGGUGUUUGGCACCUCGAUGUCGGCUCAUCACAUCCUGGGGCUGAAGUAGGUCCCAAGGGUAUGGCUGUUCGCCAUUUAAAGUGGUACGCGAGCUGGGUUUAGAACGUCGUGAGACAGUUCGGUCCCUAUCUGCCGUGGGCGCUGGAGAACUGAGGGGGGCUGCUCCUAGUACGAGAGGACCGGAGUGGACGCAUCACUGGUGUUCGGGUUGUCAUGCCAAUGGCACUGCCCGGUAGCUAAAUGCGGAAGAGAUAAGUGCUGAAAGCAUCUAAGCACGAAACUUGCCCCGAGAUGAGUUCUCCCUGACUCCUUGAGGGUCCUGAAGGAACGUUGAAGACGACGACGUUGAUAGGCCGGGUGUGUAAGCGCAGCGAUGCGUUGAGCUAACCGGUACUAAUGAACCGUGAGGCUUAACCUUACAACGCCGAAG
rnacentral:rRNA from 1 species